AAUUGAAUUGGUUUAAAUGGCCGCAGUAAUUUGACUGUGCAAAGGUAGCAUAAUCAUUAGUCUUUUAAUUGAAGGCUUGUAUGAAUGGUUGGACGAAGUAUAAUCUGUUUCAUAUAAAUUUAUAUUAAAAAUUUAUUUUUUAGUAAAAAAGCUAAAAUUUUUUUAAAAGACGAGAAGACCCUAUAAAUCUUUAUAAUUUUUAUUAUUUUUAUUAAUUAGAUUUAUUAAAUUAUAAUAUUAAAAUUUAUUUUAUUGGGGUGAUAUUAAAAUUUAAAUAACUUUUAAUUAAUUUUACAUUAAUUUAUGGUUUAUUGAUCCAUUAAUAAUGAUUAAAAGAAUAAGUUACUUUAGGGAUAACAGCGUAAUUUUUUUGGAGAGUUCUUAUUGAUAAAAAAGUUUGCGACCUCGAUGUUGGAUUAAAGUUUAUUUUUAGGUGUAGAAGCUAAAA
rnacentral:rRNA from 1 species